rnacentral:rRNA from 1 species
GACGAACGCUGGCGGCAUGCUUAACACAUGCAAGUCGAACGGAGCACCCCUGAACGAGGUUUCGGCCGAAGUGACGGGAAUGCUUAGUGGCGGACGGGUGAGUAACGCGUGAGCAACCUGCCUUGAAGUGGGGGACAACAGUUGGAAACGACUGCUAAUACCGCAUAAUAUAUCUGGGUCGCAUGGCUUGGAUAUCAAAGAUUUAUCGCUUCAAGAUGGGCUCGCGUCUGAUUAGGUAGUUGGCGGGGUAACGGCCCACCAAGCCGACGAUCAGUAGCCGGACUGAGAGGUUGAACGGCCACAUUGGGACUGAGAUACGGCCCAG